rnacentral:lncRNA from 1 species
AACAUAAAUAACAAAAAGAUUUGAUGAUUGGUAUAUGAGAUUUUAAGUUCUAAAUCUAAUUAUUUUAUAUUUUUCAGAUAAAUAUAUAAAAAAUAAUUAUUUAUAUAUUUCUCAAAAUUUUUGAAAUUUCUAAUAUAUACCUACUUUUUUUUUGUUUCAAAUAUACCCCUCGUAUAUUUCUCUAUUAUUUAAAAAUAAUCUCGUUGUUAGUACCCUUUAAGUCAUCUCGAGUUAAACACGAGUUAAAUUUCUACCAAAAUUAAAAAAAAUCAAAAUACCUUUUUUGUUUCUAACUUAAAGAUAAUGAAAAAAAUUAGUGAUGGUAGAAAAGUAUAUUUGAUAUUGCAAAAAGUUAAAAUAUUUUUUUGUUCCUAAUUUAAGGAUAAAUAAGAAAAGUUGGUUUAUUUAAAAGGGCAAAAUUAGUAAUUUCAUAAAGAUAAUGACUGUUUUAACCGUUCACUAAUCAUAUUUAAUUUUAGGGACAUAUUUAAAAAAGUUUGAAAAGUUAAAUAGUAUUUUUAUAUUAGAAGCAGGAUAAGUAAAAAAGUUUGAACAUUUUUAGAAAUAUGUAAGUAAUUGCUUCACUCAAAAAAUAAAAAGAUGAAUUGCUCCACUCAAAAAAUGAAAAAGAUAAAUUGGAUAGCUUCCUAUUUUGGUUUUUCUCUUGAAAAGGGCCAAAAAAAAAAAAAAAAGUUAAUUGCAUACAGGUCCCUAUAAACAUAGUGAAUUACAGAUAUAUCCAUACAAAGUUCUUUUCAUGUGUUAUACCUUCAAAAGUCUCGAUAUUUUCAAAUAUGUCCCUACCGUUAAAAUUCGUUAAAAAAAAAUUAGUUAACCAUAGGUUAAAUACUUAACUCUGAGAUGAAUUGACAUUUUAUCACUUUUUAAUUAACCGUUGGAAUUUUUAAGGCAUUGUUUGGUUGAGGGAUAAAGUGGGAAUAGACUACUUUAUUCCUCUAAUUCAUCCAAACACUGUAAGAGGGAGUGAGUUUAUUUAAUCCCCUCUUAACGGGUUAUUCUAGAAUAACCCGUUAAGAGGGGGAUUUGCUGUUCCACCCUUUUGGUGGAAUAACAAAUUUUUUUUUUUAUACCUCUACUAGUUUAAUAAUAAAAUAUUAUUAAUUAAUAUAUUAUAUAUAUCAUUUUAUUAACUAAUUAGCUAAAUUA